GAUUUGAUUCUAAACGGGUCGGUCGAUGCGAAACCCGCGACUUCAGCCGACGGGGCCCUAAUCUUCCCGGCCAAAGGCCGCGCAUGCCCUUGACGGCGCUCGACCAUGGCGACGACGGCCAACGGCGUGGAAUCUGAGCCAAUUACGGAGGUGCUCCCUGGCGAAUUGUCUCCGAUCACUACGAACCGUCGUUCUUGGAGCGAGGUUAGAUGCGAUGGUUUCUGAUUCCUCCGAAAUUGCUGACAAGUGAGAAUUAGACAUCCCCUGGGCCAGACCGUGAAAAAGUAAAGUAUGCGAAGGGUUACUCACAAAUCCAAGUCCACUGGUCUUGUCGAUGGUCCCAACCAUGGUGAACUUGUCACAGUACUUUGAGAGGAAGACCUUGAGGUAGGGUAUCUCAUCCACAAUGGCUGCAACACUUCCAUUGAGCAAGGCAUCAUGGUACUCCUGCGGCGACUCGUAGGGGAUCAGCUGCGACUCGUUAAACUUGAGCCGCUUCAGAAGCCCCGGCAUGAAGGAAUCCUUCAAGUACCCGACCUUGCUGCCGUCCCUGACGAGCUGAUCCACGUCGCUCACGGUGGGCUGAAGCUGUUGCACGGUGAGCAUGGAGGUCAAGCUGGCGGUGUAGCUCGACUGCAGUAUGAGCACCACGAACAACCAUAUGACCACCACCACCCGGGCCAGGUUGCUCAGCACCUUCUCCUGGUGGGCGAAGACGAGCGUGGAGAAGGAGAAGUAGAAGACGGUGCCAAUCUGGUUCGACGCCCGCCCGGGGUUGAAGUUGACGUUGGUCCGGUGCUCCAGAAACCAGACCACCAACCCGGUGAAGACGAAGGCGGCGCCGCUCGCGAACCAGAGGUUGGGCGUCAACGGAUUCAUGAAGGUCCACGCGUCCUUCCGGCGGUCGUCCCUGAUGGGGACGACCAUGGACACGCCGGACACGGUGAAGGGCAGAGUGAAAUCCACGUAUAGCGAUCGGUUCGCCCGUAUCGUCACAUCACCCACCACAGCAUCAUAUUUCUGCAUUCAGUCGUCGAUUAUAUAUCCUGUGUUGGUUUACGAUCUCACAAGAUGAAUGCCACUGACCUGAAGAAAGACUUGGUAGACGAGAUCAUCUAUCCGUCGGGGACCGAGUUGUUCGCCGUCACAAACUGCGGGAAACCGGGCUUCACUGGAACGCCGACGAUAAGCUUGUUACCGGCCGUCGGCCACUCCCAUCCCUUGGGCGGUUUCGUGCCGCCACCGGGCCAUUCGAC